rnacentral:rRNA from 1 species
GAUGAACGCUAGCUACAGGCUUAACACAUGCAAGUCGAGGGGCAUCAGGAAGAAAGCUUGCUUUCUUUGCUGGCGACCGGCGCACGGGUGAGUAACACGUAUCCAACCUGCCCUUUACUCGGGGAUAGCCUUUCGAAAGAAAGAUUAAUACCCGAUAGCAUAAUGAUUCCGCAUGGUUUCAUUAUUAAAGGAUUCCGGUAAAGGAUGGGGAUGCGUUCCAUUAGGUUGUUGGUGGGGUAACGGCCCACCAAGCCUUCGAUGGAUAGGGGUUCUGAGAGGAAGGUCCCCCACAUUGGAACUGAGACACGGUCCAAACUCCUACGGGAGGCAGCAGUGAGGAAUAUUGGUCAAUGGGCGCUAGCCUGAACCAGCCAAGUAGCGUGAAGGAUGAAGGCUCUAUGGGUCGUAAACUUCUUUUAUAUAAGAAUAAAGUGCAGUAUGUAUACUGUUUUGUAUGUAUUAUAUGAAUAAGGAUCGGCUAACUCCGUGCCAGCAGCCGCGGUAAUACGGAGGAUCCGAGCGUUAUCCGGAUUUAUUGGGUUUAAAGGGAGCGUAGGUGGACUGGUAAGUCAGUUGUGAAAGUUUGCGGCUCAACCGUAAAAUUGCAGUUGAUACUGUCAGUCUUGAGUACAGUAGAGGUGGGCGGAAUUCGUGGUGUAGCGGUGAAAUGCUUAGAUAUCACGAAGAACUCCGAUUGCGAAGGCAGCUCACUGGACUGCAACUGACACUGAUGCUCGAAAGUGUGGGUAUCAAACAGGAUUAGAUACCUUGGUAGUCCACACAGUAAACGAUGAAUACUCGCUGUUUGCGAUAUACAGUAAGCGGCCAAGCGAAAGCAUUAAGUAUUCCACCUGGGGAGUACGCCGGCAACGGUGAAACUCAAAGGAAUUGACGGGGGCCCGCACAAGCGGAGGAACAUGUGGUUUAAUUCGAUGAUACGCGAGGAACCUUACCCGGGCUUAAAUUGCAGUGGAAUGAUGUGGAAACAUGUCAGUGAGCAAUCACCGCUGUGAAGGUGCUGCAUGGUUGUCGUCAGCUCGUGCCGUGAGGUGUCGGCUUAAGUGCCAUAACGAGCGCAACCCUUAUCUUCAGUUACUAACAGGUCAUGCUGAGGACUCUGGAGAGACUGCCGUCGUAAGAUGUGAGGAAGGUGGGGAUGACGUCAAAUCAGCACGGCCCUUACGUCCGGGGCUACACACGUGUUACAAUGGGGGGUACAGAAGGCAGCUAGCGGGUGACCGUAUGCUAAUCCCAAAAGCCUCUCUCAGUUCGGAUCGAAGUCUGCAACCCGACUUCGUGAAGCUGGAUUCGCUAGUAAUCGCGCAUCAGCCACGGCGCGGUGAAUACGUUCCCGGGCCU